CCCCAGUGGGAGGUAUGGGAGGCUGGAGAGAGAGGUGGUGUCUCAGGACCCUGGGUAAACCGGAAAAGCUUGAGGGAAGGAAAAGCAGGACAGGUUUCAGGGAAAGUGCCGGUUAUUUCACCACUGGCCAGCUUUUGGCUCUUUGGCGGCUGAUAAACUGACCUUCCCAGCAGACUCUGAGCUCAGGGAGGCCCCUUGGUCUCACACUGGGUCACAGCCACAGUUGCCUGGCUCUAGAAUUUCUCUGGAAGCCUGGCUUCUAGUUGUCUCUAUCUCUUAGUAGAGUCCUGGAGCUUCCACUCUCUUGCCUGAAGCUCCCUGACCUGCAUCCUGGGUCUUGAAUUCCUGAGUGUGGGAACCAAGGGUUGGUGAGGGACCCAGGGUUCUGACUCACUCGACGGGGCCUGUGGGGGUUGUUUGCUGAGGUAACCUGGGUAGCUGAGGGAGGGAAAGAGUCUGGUUUUCAGCUCUCUGGAAGAAGGCCACACCUUUCCCAAUGACUGUGAGUUCUUUGAGAGCAGGGACUGUGUUCCAUUCUUUCUAUAACCCCUGCUCCUAAUCACGCCUGGCACAGAGCAAGCACUCAGUAAAUGAGUAUGUGUGCCCGCCUGCAUGUGUGUUCUUGUGUAUGACCUGCAGGGAGGGACCUCAGCCAUAGGGUCAGCCUUUCCUUCACAACUACUAUUUUCCUCUCCUCUGGCUUCAAGAAGGGGGUAUAGACUUACUGCUAACAGACUAAUUGGUCCACACAGCAGUUAUUUUCUAGGCCUCCACCCAUCCCUUUUCACUAGGCAGGCCCCCAAGCCAGCCCACACAACCCAGCCGCAGGGCAGGUAGGGGAAGGUUGGCAUGGGGGGCUGGGCAGCCAGCAGCACAGGGCAGGAGGCGCUCUCUGCAUAAAGUGGCAGGGAGUCCAGGUCCCAGGUGUACCCAGAUACAGAAAACUGGUCAGCGGAGAAGAUAAGUCAGCCAGUGCAGGGGAGCCUGGAGGCAGGUAUGUGGCCC
rnacentral:lncRNA from 1 species